CGUGGUCUCUCUUUCCCUCUCUCUCUGCCCCUCCCCAUGCUCUCUCUCUCCCUCUCUCAAAAUAAAUAAAUAAACUUAAAAAAUAAAAAUAUGUUUGUAGGUAAGGGAAUGUCUACAGAGACUUAAAGAUCAAAUGGUUAACAGUGAUUAUAUCAAGCUAGGUGAGAUUAAAUGACAAUAUCAUGAGGAACAGCCAUAGGGAUAGAUCAAGAACCAGAGUAGGUGAGGCCACAUACAGAGAAUGUGAAAACACUCCCCCAUCAUUUUCCCAAACGUCUGUGAAAACUUGAUGGCUUGCUAGUAACUGGGUUUUUUUGUUUGUUUGUUUUGGUUUUUGCUGGAAUAUCAUUUUAUAGGACAGGUUUUACCUCAGUUACUAGCAAAUUUGUAAAUAAUUGGCAAAUUUUAUUUCAAUUGUAUAAGUAAUAGAAUAAUACUUAGAUUAUAAUAUGCAUAAUUAUAUAGUAAUGCAUAUGCUAGUAAUAUACAAUUAUAUUAUUGAUACAUUUGUAUAGUUAUAUAAUAAAUGAUUUAUUUUAUAGAAUAGUGAUGCUCUAUUUUAUGUGUAAUGGAUAUAUAUUGUUAAUGAGAAAGAAUUACUAGGUAAUUAAAAUCACGUAUGUCAUAUUAAGUGGAAAAAAAUUGAGGGAUCUCUAAUAAGGAAAUCUCUGUGUUGUUUGAUUUUCUCAUAGUCUACCGUUUUAUUACAUAUCUUUCUUACAUAUCUUAAAUAUGGAGUUGGAGAAGCACAGAACUGGACUACUGGAAAAAUGUCAGGAAUGGAUUUUAAAUGUUGCCCUGAGUUUCCUACAGUCACUGUAAUAGUUAGAGCUUAAAUUAAAUGCUGCCCAUCACUGUAGGAUAAUUCCAAGUGCAGGAAGCCUGGGUGCUCUAUGAAAACCAUUCUGGUAGCCCUGCCCUGCCAUUCUUCUAGUUACACCCUUACAUCUGUGACUAAGGGUGAGGGCUGAAUUGGAGCCGGAAGGAGAGAGGGUGACAGGUAGAUUCAAAGUUUUGUUCCAUAUGCGAUGAAAGAAAUGAGAGGUAAGUAAUAGACGCUGAAUAAAGUAGUUCACAGGAUUACUGCUCUAUAAAUGCCAUGUGGAUUCUUGAAAGACCUUUUAAAUGUCAGCUUGUUCUUUCUGGGCUGGUUCUACUGGGUAAGUAAAGUGUAGAAAGCGAAGAUAAUUGCUAUGGUAUAAUGUGAAGAACCUUACAAAAUGUUUCAUCACUUACUCUUCGGUUUCCCCAUAUCAGAAUGAGAUCUGCUUUUUUUUUUUUUUCUUCCCUAAGAAAAUUGGAUGACUCCUCUGGUCGUCAUCAUCUACAGAGAGUAUAUUGGGCACAUUAUUGAAUUCUAAUAACAUUGGAGCAAAGGCUUAUGAUUAUACAUUUAACAUAUUCAUUUAUGCUAAUUUAACAUACUGUUAGAAAGCUAGUUCUAUUUAAAAUUUGCAAUGUUUUGCUAUUUUCUAAUUAAAAAUUGACUGUUACUAAUUAUAAAAUAGGAAGUCUAACCCGGUAACUUAGAAGACAAGUAGAUAUAACACACCCACUUAAGAAGUCUUGAAGAAAAAAAUUUACAUUUAUAAUUUCUGUACAAGUUUAGUAAAGAGGAGAAUGUUCCCUCUCUGAUAACUUCAUGUUACAUAGUGGAAUCACUUCAAGCUUAAGAGUAAAUCAAUAAAAAAUAUCUUCCUUAUAAAAUGUGUUGAGUAUCUAGUAUAUGUUAGGGACUAAGAUAUGUAGUUUUAUUUAUUGAAUAUUCAGUAUUAGGUCAUGUUGAACCCAUUAGCAAAGACUCUGAAAGGCUGAGUGCUAUUUUUGUUUAUAAAGACAAAAUCCCCUUGUCUCCCACUCGCUUCCUCCACUCAUGCUUCCAUAGCUAUUAGCAAAGUCUAAAAUAAAAUUAGGGUUUUGUAAAUGUUGUUUUAUGUAUCAUCUUUGUUUCUUUGCAUUUGGGCACGAAUUUCUCUAUAGAUAGCUUUGCUGUUUGAAUUUGAGCUGGUGGCAUAGCCCUUGGCAUCAUGUGGUUUGUAGACUUAACAUCCCUACUGGAUACACCAUUUGAACGUACGUACUCUUAUUUUCCCUCUGUUCGCAAAAAUGUCACUUCUUUUACAUAGCUAUCCCUUUGUAUGUAUUAAAAUAUGUUAGAAGCUUUACAAAUCAUGGUAUGGGAUGGAUAUGUAAUAUGGGAGCGUGAAAUGGAAGAGUAACCUUCAGUAGGGAAAAGGAAACUUUGUUAGGAAACACUAAAUAUACAAUGAAACUAAGUAUUAUUGAGGUGGGGAUUCUUACUCUUCCCAUUCAUGAAAUUGAUUUCCCAGAGCAGCUUCCUAGUCAUUGCUAACCCUGGUCAUGCUUCCGAGAUCAAUGUUUGAAUAUAUUAGAGACUGAAUAAGUUAAAAGACGCUCAGAGAUCCCUUACACACCUGACUUUUUUGGCAACAGCUCAGGUUUUGACAUCAUGAAUCAACACAGUUUGCUCUUUCGGAGACUGGGUUUCUGUUAUUCCUUACAGAUUGCCUUCCUCACAUCAAGGUUGGCUAGGUCUUUGUUUGGAAGCCAAGUGGGAAGAUACAUUUGCUCUUACUGUCAGUUAUAUGAAAAAGGCACAUUAACCUAAUUCUCUGUAGAAUUUACAUAUAAAUUGGUUUAACACAGGGGGUAAGUCAGUUCAAAAUAGGACACUCUUAGGAUAGACACUUAGUAUAAUGCUUAGUAUAAUAUUGAAUUGAAUUUUUAUCUAAGAAAGUUUUAUUAGGGUUCUUGCUGUUAAAAAAGUUCAGCUGGGUACAUUUAACGAUCAAAUUGGCUUUAUGCAAUGAUUCGUGUCAGACAGCGUCUCAUCAAACAAAUGGAAAGGAGCUCGCAAGAGCUGUACAAAUAGGAUACUUUUAUGCUCAGAAGGGGCAGGGACAAGGAAAAAGUGUCUUAGCUCAUUUUUCUUUCAGGGUUGGAAGGGGUCUGAGUGGAUCACUUACUACUGCUGACCAGGAAUUCCCAGGCUGACGGGUUAAGAUACACUCCUGGGGAAGGACGAAACUGCAGUUCAGUUAGUUUUGGUUCGGUGACAAAGGGUUAGCACGAAUGACCCUCGGUGUCUUUUUUUAACAUCACCAUAGAUCUCUUUUUGGAAAAGACUUUUCUCAUCAGAAUGCUUGUCUCUUUUAUUUGCCCUUUAAAAAAGAAAUCCUUUGUUUCAACUUCUCGCGAUCUUGAUGGUAAUUCUCACACCACAAAUUAACAGUGAUAUCAGAUAUAUUGUGCCCUUGCCUUUUUAUAAUCUGUGGAUUUCCUUGAAUUCGGUGUCAGUUGAAUAGUUUCUUUUAACAUUUUUGCUUUUUUUCUCAAGCUUUUCUCUUUAGUGUUCAAAUCCAAUGUCAGUCUAUACACAGUAAAAUAUAACCUCUUUUUUUGUGCUUUCAUCCCAGUGGGCUGAUUUAUAGAUUUAUAACUUAGGUUUUCACAGCACGUUGACCCAAGGUGGUAGGAAAAGUGGCUCUGUUUUUAUAAACUUUUUAUUAGCUUUUCUAAAGAUAGUAGAUUAUAUUUUGGAAUGUAUUUCACACAUGACUUGCUUUAUAAUACUUUGUAUGCUACUUUGCAUCAUCAGAAAUUUUCCUGAUUUCUCUUCUAAUUGUUUUGAAAUUCAGCAGAUAGACCUUUGCAUGCCCUUUAAAGGAGUUCGAAAGCAGGGUGUUUGGGAAUGAAGCUGUCAUUUCUUUUCCCUCUGCUCUGUCAAAUUUUUUCCACAUUAUUUUGAAAUACAAAAUAUUUGCUAGCGAUAGGACAGGAUUAAAACAGGAUUAUACAUCUAGCUAUGUAUAUACGAUGGAAUAUUACUCAGCUGGAAUGAAAUCCUGCCAUUUGCAAUGACGUGGAUGGAGCUAGAGAGGAUUAUACGACGUGAAAUAAGUCAGAGAAAGGCAAAUACCAUAUGAUUUCACUCCUAUGUGGAAUUAAGAAACAAGAACAGAUGAACAUAGGGGAAGACAAAGAAAAACAGAGAGGGAGGGAAACCAUAAGAGACUCUUAACUAUAGAGAACAAAGUGAGGGUUGCUGGAGGGGAAAUAGGGGGGGAUGGGCUAAAGAGGCAAUGGGGAUCAAGGAGGGCACUUGUGAUGAGCACUGGGUGUUGUAUUUCAGGGUGAAUUACUAGAUUCUGUACCUGAAACUAAUAUUACACUGUGUGUUAACUAACUGGAAUUUAAAUAAAAACUUGGAGAGUAUAUAAAAACAAAUACAUUGAGGCUGGCAGAAUUCAGUUGUGCGUAUUAUAGUAUAUUUUAGGCAAUGAAACAACCAUUUGUAGAAUUACAAUAACUAAAGAAGAUAUUUUAUUGUAUUGUUCAUGAAAAUCAGAGAUUGUGACUGCCUUUACAAAACACUGUAAACGUGAUGACACUUGUUGCAUAGUUUAUAAAUAAACAUUGACCUUGAAUACAACAAUGGGUUGGGUGAAAGGGAAGGGAAGGUAAAACUAUAAUGUCUACUGGGAAUGCAUUCAGAUCCUCUGGGUGCAUAUUAAAGGAAUGUGUUUUAGAUGAAAAAAAAUUACCAAGCUGAAACAACAUUUGAGUUAAUGGAAAAUUCUAGAAAUUUAGUAGAAUAAUAUAUAUGCUAAAUAGCAGAGUCCUCACUUGCCGUUUUUUGGCCACGACUUGGAAAAAUGCCCUUCUAGACAUCUUCAUUGUUUUAUAUUGAACUGUGAGUAUGAUCUUAGAGAAAAAAACUCCGUCUUCUCCCAUUUCUGUCCUUCAGUGGCUACAGAAUGUCUGGGGUCCUCCUCAGGUGUGCGUUUUAUAACUGAUUGAGUCUACAUUCCUCAGAAUGUAGAAAUUUGAUGAGGUUAAUUUAUUAUUUGACCAAAGAUAUUUUUCUUAAGUUUUUUUGCAAAGAUUUUUUUGCAAAGAUUUCUUUCUUAAUUGCAGGUGUUUUGACAAUACUGCUCUUACACAGCCUCAAAGACUUUUAAAUCAGCUGUAAAUACAUCCAAAGAUCUUGGCCUAACAUGAAAACUGGUAUGAGUUCCCACUCAUACCAGCCUUCCCCGCCAGGGUGGAUCUUCCACAUUCACACAGACAGACAAUAAAAAUGUUAGCAUUACAGAAUUCUGCUCACCUUUUAUCCUGAUUUUAGUUUACAUCCACAGGGAAAUACAGUUUGGGGAUCAUCAGGGAACUUAAAAACAGAAACUAUUUUAGGCACAUUUUUAAUUAAAACAAUGAAUGAACAAAAUCCAACCUAUUAUUAAGUGUUUGAGAAGGUAUUUUUUAUAUAUCAUUAAUUUUAUAAACUCAGAGAUAGAAAAUAACUAUUUUUUAGUGAUUUGUCAGCUGUUCCUCCUAAAAAUAUCCUUUAUUAGAUAGUCAUGAUUGUAACAUGAGGUUUUUCUCACCAAUUGAUUGUAGUAUAAUGAUCCAAUGUUGCCAUUGAUAAUUAUUCUUAGCUCUGUUGUUCAGUUGUUACAAAGAUCCUGUCAUUAUUUUAUGAUACUGUUCAUUGUAUAAAAUAUUGGUGAAAUUCACUCAUGACUUAAAUUAUUUUAUCUGUAAAGCUCAGUGCUCAAUUAUCUUUAGUUCCCAUUUGGAACUUAUGCAUUGUUGAAUUCUAUGCCCAGUAAAAUAUCAAAGUUGGGUUUUUUUUAGUUAAUUAGAUUGGCUUUAUUAUUUGACUGUUGAUGUCUGUAGUUUGUGAACAUAUAUUUUGAAUACUUUAGUAUUAAUAUUAUAGAUUGGGUGAGGAAGUGAUUCUAAUGGCAAACUAUUUGAGGGAUUUGUAUUUUGUAUGAAAAAAUGAAUAAGCUAAUUAAUACUGUUAAGUGAUUGCUAAGUCGAGUUGUAUUAGAUACUGUGGUAUUAACCCAGUGGUUGAUUGCUGACCUUUUUGGAGACUUUUGGUACAGUAAGAGGGAGAAAUGAGACAAACUCAAAUUCACUUUUCCUCCUCACUUGUCUACUUACACACUAAUGGGGUUAUAUUUGUACUGCAUAGAUAUCUAAAUCACAAACAGUGAUUUUGACAGAACUCUGGUCUAUAGACCUUGGUUGUCCUUAGCGGACUUGAGGCAAGUGGGAAUUUGUUUUACUGAUGAAUUUCAAGCCUUGUUGGAAAACAAAGUUGAUAGAACUGGGUUUCAUGACUUUGAUAUGUGGAUUAAAGAAAUAAUUAAGGAAAUUUUAUUUACUUCAUUCUAAUUAAUUUAUGUUGAGGGAUUUAUUUUUUUAAGUAUUUAUGGGAUGGUAUAUAAACAUUUUGGUUUUGAUGUUUAGCAUAUUGAACAUUUUCCUUUCUGUGGAAAUAAAGGCUUUGUUACUCAGGGUUCGGUGUACUGAAAUCAGAGCUUAGGCAAGCCUUUUGUCU